rnacentral:lncRNA from 1 species
ACUCGUGCAUUAGUCGUCAUGAUGGAACUUGAGGGAGAGCUCCUUGAAACUUCGCUGCGCACAAAGCAUGCUAACUUUAGAUUCAAAGGUAAAAGGUCUCUAUGUUCAUUUGUGCAUACGAAUCUGAAUCUGAAUCAGAUUCCUCUUGGCCAGGCCUGGUAUGAAAAAUCAGAGUACACAUCACAAGAAACAAGGAAAAGAUGACACUUUUCUUUAUCUUGUCCAAAUCUAUG